rnacentral:lncRNA from 1 species
CACGCCCCGGAUUUCACGUUCCCCGGGCACGCCGACAGAUCCGCCGUAUACAAAGAAAUUUUUCCUGUAUACGAAGCGAUAGCUGUACCUGUAAAUCAAACACUACUACGAACAGUAGUAGAGAGCUGCUAGAGAAAACUGAAGCUAAAUAAAACAGAGUUUCAUAUACAUAGUUCAGAUCCCAAAUACAGAGCUACUCGCACUGGCGAGUUAAGUCAACUAUGUACACAAACUCGAAACAAAACAUCUACCUGCAGUAGGGCACCUCUAGCUCAGCACGUCGGGUAGGGCUCUAACUCGCGACGCCCUUGCCUCGAUCGUGAUCCACGGACGGUGCAGCAGCCGGAACCUGUGGCUCUGCAAAAACAUAGGUAACAACUGGGCGUGAGAACUACUGUAAAAACAAGUAGUCCUCAGUGGGUACCGCCCAAAACAACAUCGGUCACCCACUAAGUCUACAGAAGGGAGCAAGGAUAGAAGGAAAGCAGGAAGCAUACUCUACCGCUAUCAUCCACUACACUAUCAUGCUCUACACUAACCAACUGUAGGAAAUGUCAAAUCUGACCCAAUCCAAUCCGGACUGUAGACGUACCCGUCCCCGGGACUGUGAACACACCCGUCCCUGCCCCGUUGCGACUAUCAGGCUCUAUCCACACUAACUGGUCCGUGGAGAGCAAGUCCAACUGGCAUGAGCGACACCAACGCGAAAGCACAAAGCCUGACUCCGGAGUGGCACUCGUGGGCGCUACCCAACCGAGUAUGCAGCGUAUCUCUGUCGAGCUCAAUCAGGCUCCAACUAGCCAAAGUCAAGUAAUCGACUCAAACUGGUCUAACAACCAACAGGUAACGUGCCCUCGGCACAAUCUGACGCCAAAAAGGCGAUACGGGUCCACCGUCAACUCUGACGGCACCCAACAGUCCGAAACGACCUGAACGACCCUGUAAAAAUCCACUCGGCGAACCAGCACGAGUGUAAAUACAUUCUAAACUACCUGGAGUACUCGUCUCGAAGAAACUGCGACAGUACAAUUUUCUAACGGCUCCUAGAGCUAAAUCAGGUAGUUAAAACUGGUGACAGGUCCAAAUCGCAGGUUUUCUCCUAAUUCAAUUUCCAAGUCCAACAUGUAUAAUCUAUUUACUUGAUAAAAUAUGCUCGAAAAUUCAGAUUUUACAUUCUAACAAUAAUCCAUGAAUUUGAGCUAACAACUAUUGUAGAAAUCACGAUUUAUACAUGUCGACUAAUAACACUUAGGAGUAAAACCGAUGUAACCCACCUAAAAUGCUAAUCCCUGGCAGCGAAGGACUCCCCCUGGUGUAGAGCAACCUGCUGGAUCACCCGGAACCCGCCGAGUACAGAAAUCGCCUAAGCCCGAGCUCUACGCAACAAAAUUCACCAAUUCAGUCCAGAAAUCACAGCAGUGAGGUACAACAGGGAUUCGACCAAGCUAACCUUCACCAAAUCCAGCAAGUAAGGACUUCGUGGAUUCCUCUCGCAGUCCUGAAUCCAACGAGCCAAGUCUCGUCGCAAUCCGAUGCUCCUACGUCGAGAACGAGCCAAAAUACAAACAGUCGACGGUGAAAUUCAGCAAACAACGUCUCUUCGAGUUGAAGUAGUAAGAAUUUGCCCAAAAAUCCAAAGAAAUGCUGAAUACUCACCUCGACAACACCAAGUACCUGUGUGACAGCAAGGACGGCGAAAAUCUACGCUCGCCCAGCCUCCUCGUGCUACCACGGUGACAAACACGAGCUCGAACGGUUCCGCGGCGCGACGUCGGCGACGGACUCUCCAACCGAGCUCACCACGGCAACCGAGUCUAGAGAGAGGAAGGAGAAGAGAGAGCAACAAGAACUCACUCUCUCUCUCAGCACAAGGCUAAAUAGAGAGGGAGUGGGUUGGUGAUACAAACGAGGUGAAAAUUUACUCAAAUGCCCCCUCACCUACCCUGGUGUACCGGUACACGGGAUCGCGUACCGGUACAGGAAGCUAACCCGAGAGCAGUACGCGCUCAGCCAGUAUAGCGUACCGGUACACCUCGCUGGCUGUACCGGUACAGCCAGCAGGAAAAUCUGCUAUUUUGCAGAUUUCUUCGCUGAAGGCUGCUCUCGCG